rnacentral:rRNA from 1 species
GAUGAACGCUGGCGGCGUUCCUAAUACAUGCAAGUCGAGCGAACGGACGAGAAGCUUGCUUCUCUGAUGUUAGCGGCGGACGGGUGAGUAACACGUGGAUAACCUACCUAUAAGACUGGGAUAACUUCGGGAAACCGGAGCUAAUACCGGAUAAUAUUUUGAACCGCAUGGUUCAAAAGUGAAAGACGGUCUUGCUGUCACUUAUAGAUGGAUCCGCGCUGCAUUAGCUAGUUGGUAAGGUAACGGCUUACCAAGGCAACGAUGCAUAGCCGACCUGAGAGGGUGAUCGGCCACACUGGAACUGAGACACGGUCCAGACUCCUACGGGAGGCAGCAGUAGGGAAUCUUCCGCAAUGGGCGAAAGCCUGACGGAGCAACGCCGCGUGAGUGAUGAAGGUCUUCGGAUCGUAAAACUCUGUUAUUAGGGAAGAACAUAUGUGUAAGUAACUGUGCACAUCUUUACGGUACCUAAUCAGAAAGCCACGGCUAACUACGUG